UAUAAGAAAAGCCUGAUAAGUUUAGGAAGACGGAAUUCUGAGGAUGGUUUGUAUUUUCUUCUCUACCACUCUCAAGAUGGUGGUGAUAAUUUUCCUUGAUUUAAUUGUGUACAACAAAAUUUGACUCCUGAGGAAGGGACUUUGCUGUAUAAAACCUUCCAUUAGCUGUUAUAUUAACAAGUCAUGCCAUGUUUUACAAUGUGCCAUUAUUGCCUGACAAGUUAUUGUAUUUCAUAUUUGUCAAGAUUUCUGCCUUCUUAUUCACUGUGUUUCCAUUGCAAUGCUCAAAGACAGCUCUUCUAUUUCUAGCCUCGAGCCAUAAUUAUACUUAGGCCUUGAGCCAGAGAUAAGCCCAUGCCAACAAAAUGUUUGUGUGUAUCUUGGAAACAUAAUCAGUGUUAACUGGGUUGGUGUAUUACAUGUCAUACAGGCAAACCCAGCAGCCCUCUUCCACAGAGCAAGUGAUAACCCUUAUCUGCUUCAUUCUCCAAAGAACUGCCAGGUCCAAGAGCUAUUUGAAACCAGUGAAAGGGAUUUUGCUGACAAAAACUUCAGUGUCUGUGGAGGCUGUGGUGACCCAUACUGUGCCCACAAAUUUGGAAUAAGGCUGAUGGAUGGAGAUGAUAAAGUGGAGAGAAUGCUCCGAGGCUCUCGUUGAGUUUGCUGUCCAGAAAAAAAAGAAUUGACUGAAUGUUAUCUCACCAGCACCAAGUGGGAAGUAGCACAUGAGAGAAAAACAUGGACUGGAAUCAUAUAGUCUGUGCUUGGUUUUGGAUAUUAAAUGAUGGGGAGAUGGCAGAGGGAGAAAAAUGUAAAGCAGAGGAGUUUUAUAUUAAUUUUGACAAAAACAGAUAAAAUGUAGGCUACUUGGUCUGAAGCAUUUACCAUUAAUGUGGAUGAUGGAAGGCCUUAAGUACACAUACAAGUUCUUGUGAUGUAUGUGAGUUCUACUGUUCUGUUUCCUAACUAACAUGCUAAUUGUUAUCUGUUAUUAAUUUAUUUAUUUUUUUGGCUUAGGAAUGAUCUCAGAACAAUUGGUUGAAGUGUUCCAUUAUAUGGAACAGUGAUUCCAAAUGAGAUGUGGCUGUUCCUUUGGGAUGACUGCCCUUCAUAUUUCUCUUCCUUGGGACAGCCAAGGAAGCUAAGAAAGGCUGUCUCCACAUAGCUACACAAGUGAAACAAAUUACAAUAUUCUUCCACUCUGCCUGACAAGAUGUUUUUUGUAUUUCCUGCUCCCUCUGAAGAGCAGGAAAUACAAAUUUCCUUUUCAAGGAAGAGAAAUAAUUUAACAGAAAGAAAUAGUGAGAUAAUAGAAUUACUAGAAGAAGGAUGGAUUCAAUAAUGUUUUGAUUUAAAUCAGAAAACAAAUUCCCAGUGUAUUUUCCAGUACUCAGUUUUAAGCCCAGCUAUUAUUUUUCUGGCAGAAUAGCAGUGUCUUGUAAAAAUGUUGAUUUUACAGACAUGUGUUUUAUGCCAGUCCCUCAGUAUUUGAAAGGAGAGUGGGCAGGUGAGCUGGCAUGGAACAAGGAUGUUGAGGUGCUUUGCUGGGGGCUCUGUGGUUACCCAGAGCUCAUUCCCUGAGCAGCAGCUGCCCUGUUCGAGGGCACAGCAGGGACAUCCAUCAAGGGGUAAGGCUAAAGCGAAGCAGAGGCAGCACAAAAAAUAACCAAUUUCUUCAAUGACAAAUACCUUCAGUGGCCAUGAUGAACUUUGCUUAUUUUGGUAGUGUGCUUUUCUGAUGCCAUUAAACUUUUUGUGUCUAAGACCACAAUAUAUUUAAGGGAACUGUUGUUACUAGAAAAGGCAUCACACAAAUGUAUGACUGGUACCACUGAAAUCAAUACACUGAGUCAUAAUCUUACAACAGCCAUAUAGAUAUUUGUGCUUCCUUCAUUAGGUUCAGGGAGUUCAAAUUAAAUAACAGGUGUAAGUAUACAGGGAAAAAAAAGAUCCUAAGCCUCAUCAUCAUAUAGGAUGUAUAGGAAUGAAAUACCAUAUUUAUGCUGCUCUUUUUCAUUGCUUUAUUUAAUUCAAAAUAAAUUCACAUGGUUUGCAGUGAAUAGUUUUAAAAGGUAAAAGUACAGUACUUUCAGUACUACAAUUUCCUAAUGCAUAAAAAAUAUGUUGUUUAAAUUAA